UACGGAGGAUGCAAGCGUUAUCCGGAUUUAUUGGGUUUAAAGGGUGCGUAGGCGGAGAAAUAAGUCAGCGGUGAAAGUUUGAGGCUCAACCUUAAAAUUGCCGUUGAAACUGUUUUUCUAGAGUGUAAAUGAGGUAGGCGGAAUGCGUGGUGUAGCGGUGAAAUGCAUAGAUAUCACGCAGAACCCCGAUUGCGAAGGCAGCUUACUGGGAUACAACUGACGCUGAAGCACGAAAGCGUGGGGAUCAAACAGG
rnacentral:rRNA from 1 species